rnacentral:rRNA from 1 species
UACGUAGGGACCAAGCGUUGUUCGGAUUUACUGGGCGUAAAGGGUGGGUAGGCGGCAUGGUAAGUCAGCUGUGAAAUCUCCGGGCUUAACCCGGAACGGUCAGCUGAUACUGCUGUGCUAGAGUGCAGAAAGGGCAAUCGGAAUUCUUGGUGUAGCGGUGAAAUGCGUAGAUAUCAAGAGGAACACCUGAGGCGAAGGCGGGUUGCUUGGCUGACACUGACGCUGAACUACGAAAGCUAGGGGAGCAAACAGG